AAAGGUAAAGUUACUUCUGAGAGAAAGGAGAUGGUCAAGAAUAGAACUAAGGGAAAUGCUGCCUUACCUGUCGACACAAGUGAUCAUAUUGGAUGUUCUUCAUCUGUUCAUAAAGUUAAGGGGAAGAGAGCCGCCAACGUUCAGAAAAAGCUUAACCGUAGAAAUAAGAUUGCAAAGACUGCAAAAAAAAA